UAUGAGUGAAUCAUUGCAAAUGCAGACAGAAAAGUAAUGGAUAAAGAUGGCAUUUGUGAGUUUGUAUGAUAGUAAAUCAGCCUUCCGAGGACUGACAUAGUUUAUCAAGAGAUAAGGAAUGUAAUUUAUGCAAAGACAUGUACAAAGUAUAAUAAAUUGUUUUACAAAUGUA